rnacentral:rRNA from 1 species
UACGGAGGAUGCGAGCGUUAUCCGGAUUUAUUGGGUUUAAAGGGUGCGUAGGCGGCCUUGUAAGUCAGCGGUGAAAUUUUGCAGCUUAACUGUAAAAGUGCCGUUGAUACUGCGAGGCUAGGAUUUGGUUGCUGUGGGUGGAAUGUGUGGUGUAGCGGUGAAAUGCUUAGAGAUCACACAGAAUAUCGAUUGCGAAGGCAGCUCACAAAGCCAAGAUUGACGCUGAGGCACGAAAGUGUGGGGAGUCAAACAGGAUUA